CCAGCCCAGGAGCAGCUGCAGGGUGGCUGCUGCUGUCACCACUGCUGUCUGGGCUGAGAGGAGGAAAGCUGGGAACAGAGGGUACAGUCACCUCUAUAGUGGAAGUCACUGCUCCUGUACCCCUCUUUGCAAA
rfam:Alligator mississippiensis ScZkoYb_23, whole genome shotgun sequence.